rnacentral:misc_RNA from 1 species
GAAAUGCGAUAAGUAAUGUGAAUUGCAGAAUUCCGUGAAUCAUCGAAUCUUUGAACGCACAUUGCGCCCUCUGGUAUUCCGGGGGGCAUGCCUGUCCGAGCGUCAUUGCGAACCCCCAAGCACGGCUUGUGUGAUGGGCCCUCCCGCGUCUUGGUCGUCAAGACGGGCCCGAAAUGCAGUGGCGGCUUCGCGGUUAUCCGAUCAGCCAGAGCGUAUGGGGACUCUCUCUCUUGUCACACGCCCGCGGCGCGGACCGACGCCUGUCGACCUUUAUUCAUCUUCUCUCGGUUGACCUCGGAUCAGGUAGGGAUACCCGCUGAACUUAAGC